GGAAGAAAGAGAAGAAACAUAAGAAGAAAAAGGACAAGAAACACAAGGGAGAAGAGGAGAGUUCAGGGCCUGUUCAGAUCUCCAAGUAUUUAAAGGAGAAGAAGAAAAGUGGCAAGUACAGCAUGAUUUCAGGGAGGAAGAUUAAAAUGAAGGUGAAAAAGUCUAAGAAGGACAAGCAGAGGGACAAAAACCGGGCCGAGCUUCUAGAGUUUCUCAACUCUGCCUUUUGACCCAGUUAACUAUAACUGGCCUCUGCCAACAGUCUCCAUACAACCACCCACAACUACAACAACUCAGGGAGGUUCACUGCCCACUUGUCUGCCUCAGUGCCCUGCUUGGUAUCAUUUCCCAGAGUUUUUCCAUAAUCAGAAGGUUGGCAAGGAGUGUUGCUUCAACACAGUGUUGAGAAAGGCCCCAACUGGUAUAACCACACUUUCCUCUAGAGUCAAACAGCAGGGCAAGUGAACAAUCAUUCCUGUGUGAAGGCCCUCUUACACACCUGUUUCUGAAGUUUAUCGUGACUCCCAAUCUUUC